AAGUCGUAACAAGGUUUCCGUAGGUGAACCUGCGGAAGGAUCAUUAUCCUUUAGCGUGGCAUUUAUAAAAUGCUACAUGCGCAUGCACUUUUGUGUUGCGUAAAAUUGCACAACGAUUUUACCUAGUAAUUAUCGUUCUUAAAAUCCAUGCUUGCCUUAGUAUGGUCGGGUACCUAAGUAUGUGUUAUUACACAACAAAAGCGAUGGGCGCUUGCUUAUCGUGUGGUGUAAAGAUUAUUCAAAGCAUUUGAUUAACGCCCGCUUAGCAAUAUUUUUAAUACAAAUUUUAAUCGCAUUUAUUUAUGUUGUAUGUGUAAAUCAAUAUCUUAUUACUUAUAAGAUAAUAACACAAAUACAACCCUAUGCGGUGGAUCAUUUGGCUC
rnacentral:misc_RNA from 1 species